rnacentral:rRNA from 1 species
GGCGGACGGGUGAGUAACGCGUGAGAAUCUGCCUUCAGGACGGAGACAACAGUUGGAAACGACUGCUAAGCCCCGAUGAACCGAAAGGGAAAAUAUUUAUAGCCUGAAGAUGAGCUCGCGUCCGAUUAGCUAGUUGGGGGGGUAAAGGCCCACCAAGGCGACGAUCGGUAGCUGGCCUGAGAGGACGAUCAGCCACACUGGGACUGAGACACGGCCAGACUCCUACGGGAGGCAGCAGUGGGGAAUUUUCCGCAAUGGGCGAAAGCCUGACGGAGCAAGACCGCGUGGGGGAAGAAGGCUCUUGGGUUGUAAACCCCUUUUCUCUGGGAAGAAAGUUGUGAAAGCAACCUGACGGUACCAGAGGAAUCAGCAUCGGCUAACUCCGUGCCAGCCGCCGCGG